CACUGUCUCAGACCUCUGUCAGGUUGUCUGGCUGGAAUCCUGCAUCCCUGGCCUCAGCUAGAAGGCUGAGAAUGAAAGAAGGAACAAAAUUGAAAACUGAUCCCAUUUAUUUCAAAAUCAUGUCACCUCUGUCAGCUGAAGAUACUGAACUAAGAGGCAGCUUGAGUCUCCUUCCGCUUGUGCAUGAGAUGGCACAGUCUUUCUUCAAAACAAGUCCUAUAUGGGAAUUCCCUGGCGGUCCAGUGGUCACGAUUCCGCACUUCCACUGCAGGGGGCGUGGAUUCGCUCCCUGGUCGGGGGAACUAAGAUUCCGCGAGCUACGCAACGCGGCCAAAAAAAAGAGCUCUAUUGAUGAUUAGAGGUCAGCUGGAUUUUGGCUAAUCUUGUCGGGAUCAGUGGAACUUGGCUCCAGCCAUGAGUUGAGUUCACAUCUCUCAUUCCUCCGUGACUAGUGGGCUGCCCAAGACAUCAUCUUCACAAGGUGGUAGCAGAAGCCCAAAAGAGCAGACCCAGCACUGAAAUGGGUAAAGCCUCUGUACACAUCACAACUACUAACAUUUCAUUGGCUAAAUAAAGUCAUACAGCCAAGCUGACAUCAAGGGGGUGGAAAAUAUACUCCAGCUGUAAUCUCAGGAACUACACAUGGUAUAGGUGUAGGGAGUGAUGAAGUACUGGGAAGAAUUAUACAGUCUACAACAGUGCCUCACAAAAAGAUUACAUGGAAAAAACACAUGCACAGGAUAUAAAAUUGAUUGUACAACUUGAUCAUAACUAUGUAAAAAUAUUUUUUGCAAUUCAACAAAGAAUAGAAAUAAAUAAGCAAAAAUGAAAAAAAUCAUGACUGGAUAACAAGUGGCUAAGAACUGUUUAUUUUGCCUCUCUCCAUUUCUCAAACUUACAUAAUAUAGUACCUUUCUUUUUUAAAGUAAGUUUUAGAAGCUUCUCACAGCAGGCAUGUUAUUUCACCAAACUAAUUGUUUUAUCUAUUAUAUUAAGGGUCUGUAGGAAAAAUGUAGAAUUCUAAGUGCAUUCAAGUUAGCCAUUUAUUCUUAGUCUCCACCAGUUCCUAAUCUCAAACUCAAAUCUAACAGACUUCC
ensembl:lncRNA